rnacentral:misc_RNA from 1 species
AUGGAUCAUUACCAAUUUUUAAAUAUGAGUUUGUAUGUCCGCUCCUAGAGUGGUUAUACACAACUUCUAUUGUAAACGUUGAACUAGAUCAUUGGUGUGUGGAUUGUGUUUAUCCUUUCUUUGUUGAUUGGAUAGGCAUAUCCCACACUGAUACCUAUAUUUAAUUAUAUACAAUCAAUAUAUACUACCAAACAAACAAACAAAUAUAAAUCUAAUAGGACUUAUAAACAGUUGAGUGGGUAAAAGCCUCAGCUAAAAAUAUAACAAAAUACAACUUUCAGCAAUGGAUCUCUAGGCUCUC